ACAUCCAGAGAAUUUAGCAGAGAUGCUUUAGGUGCCUUCGGGAACUCUGAGACAGGUGCUGCAUGGCUGUCGUCAGCUCGUGUUGUGAAAUGUUGGGUUAAGUCCCGNAACGAGCGCAACCCUUAUCCUUUGUUGCCAGCACGUAAUGGUGGGAACUCAAAGGAGACUGCCGGUGAUAAACCGGAGGAAGGUGGGGAUGACGUCAAGUCAUCAUGGCCCUUACGAGUAGGGCUACACACGUGCUACAAUGGCGCAUACAAAGAGAAGCGACCUCGCGAGAGCAAGCGGACCUCAUAAAGUGCGUCGUAGUCCGGAUUGGAGUCUGCAACUCGACUCCAUGAAGUCGGAAUCGCUAGUAAUCGUAAAUCAGAAUGUUACGGUGAAUACGUUCCCGGGCCUUGUACACACCGCCCGUCACACCAUGGGAGUGGGUUGCAAAAGAAGUAGAUAGCUUAACCUUCGGGAGGGCGUUUACCACUUUGUGAUUCAUGACUGGGGUGAAGUCGUAACAAGGUAAGCGUAGUGCU
rnacentral:rRNA from 1 species